GUGGCUGUAGUUCAAUUGGUUAGAGCACCGGAUUGUGAUUCCGGACGUUGGGGGUUCGAGUCCCCUCAGCUACCCCA
rnacentral:tRNA from 1 species